GGCCCUGCGUGAGUUACGUUUGUAAGAAAACACGAAAAGUCUCCGCUCCCUUAAAGGGUCUGAAGGCGACGAGGUCUCCUCUCGGGUAGGUUAGUGUUCGGGUAAAUAGUGGUGAUGGAUGCCCGACCUUACACAUGUACAAAUAACACUGAAAUGUAUGGCUUAAUGGCGAAUUUUACAUGAAUUUUACCACCAACAAAACCAAAAAUGCACAAACUAUGGCCUCCAGACACACGGAAAUGUGGAACACGCAAUGGAAACAUCUGGAAACAAGGCAGGGGUCUUGGCCAGAAAGAAAGGAGCAGCGCUGGGAGUGCUGACCCGAGGCCAGCAUGCUUCUCCUGCCAAGACCCAGUGGAGGGUCUCCCACUGAGCGCGGGCAUUGCUCAGUGCCUGGCAACCAGCGUCCGAAGGGAACUGCAUUCUUCAUUGUGCGGAAGAGAACAUGGAGACUCAGAGGUAAGAUUCUUCUCCCCGGUCACACAGCACACCCAGCACCUCCCCUCCAGGGGACUCAUCCGGAGCAAGAACCGGAAGAGCAGGCAGGCUCUGAAGCUGCGUCAUGUGACCAGUCCACAUGGCGUGGGAAGUGCUUGCAUCACGCUGCGUCAGUCAAGACUGGGUUUCCAAGUCGGAAUUUCCCUGAGAGAUAGCAGCCCGGCCGCCCUGCCUCUGCUGCACGCUCCAUGAACCCCAGGCCGAGCUGGCCACCAGCAGCCGAGGAAACCUCCCACGGACAGCUCGUGGCCAGGCGAGCUCUCAGGUGUAGGAACGCUUCCCCUUUGUGAACCCUCCACUGUGAGCUCCCUGCAGGAAAUGGUUCUUGUUGCAAACAAGAGGUUCCGCUGCACAAUCCGGAAACUGCCCGCCUGCCUCUGCAGUGAUCCCGGAGGGUCACGCCUCCAGAGCGGGGGUCAGGCAGAAGGGCUGACUGGAGCCACCUGGUCCUGCCCACGUCCAGAGAUUUCUCCUGAGCCAGGUCUCGGCUCCCAGGAAGGCAGCCACUGCCUGCGGACGUCACAGAAACGACCCCGGAGGACUUGCCGGUGCUUCUGGCGGGAAAACGCUUUUGCUUAUCGGAAACAUUUCUGCUUUCGCAGGGUCUUCACGCACACGCACGCAUAUAUGUGUUUUAGUUUGACUCUGAUAACAGGCCUGCCAGUGCCCAGCACUGGACGUGUUCGCGAGUGGAGAAGAAACAAGGUCUGUAGGAGGAACCAGAAGUGAGUCUGUCCAAAUUCUUCCCAUCAUGCAACGUGCAAAAUUGUGAGUGGACUCAGGUCUCCCCAACCCCUGGGCAGAAGGAAAUCCGUCUCUGACGAAAGCAGCCCGUAAUGCAGGAUUAUGAUUUAAUACUCAUGUUGCUUUUCCUUUUGGGUGGGGUUGCCCUUAUCAGAACGCCUGUAUUUGUGCAGCAAACACCUACCUGUAGGAAUGCUAUCGUGAGCACUUCGUGCAAAGCCCCGAGGAUUACCCAAACCAGGGUCAACACUAACAGUCAGAUACCGAUUUGAUCAGACGCGCUAGAGAAAUCGGAAUCGCCCGUCGGUUCUUUCCAUAACACACUCUGCAAAGUCAUGAUGUGCGCAUUCAGAGAACACAGCCAAAAAUGUAAACAAAUGCACCAGACAUGCAUUUGUUAAUCCAUACAAACGUUAUUUUUCUAAA